rnacentral:rRNA from 1 species
UACGUAUGGUGCAAGCGUUAUCCGGAUUUACUGGGUGUAAAGGGAGCGCAGGCGGAAGGCUAAGUCUGAUGUGAAAGCCCGGGGCUCAACCCCGGUACUGCAUUGGAAACUGGUCAUCUAGAGUGUCGGAGGGGUAAGUGGAAUUCCUAGUGUAGCGGUGAAAUGCGUAGAUAUUAGGAGGAACACCAGCGGCGAAGGCGGCUUACUGGACGAUAACUGACGCUGAGGCUCGAAAGCGUGGGGAGCAAACAGG